rnacentral:rRNA from 1 species
UGGAUUUGACAUAUUUCUGACCGCCCUAGAGAUAGGGUUUCUCUUCGGAGCAGAAUUAC